CCUACGGGGGGCAGCAGUGGGGAAUAUUGGUCAAUGGGCGCAAGCCUGACCCAGCAACGCCGCGUGAAGGAUGAAGGCUUUCGGGUUGUAAACUUCUUUUUUCAGGGACGAAGCACGUGACGGUACCUGACGAAUAAGCCACGGCUAACUACGUGCCAGCAGCCGCGGUAAUACGUAGGUGGCAAGCGUUAUCCGGAUUUACUGGGUGUAAAGGGCGUGUAGGCGGGACUGCAAGUCAGAUGUGAAAACCACGGGCUCAACCCGUGGCCUGCAUUUGAAACUGUAGUUCUUGAGUACUGGAGAGGCAGGCGGAAUUCGUAGUGUAGCGGUGAAAUGCGUAGAUAUGAGGAGGAACACCAGUGGCGAAGGCGGUCUGCUGGACCGCAACUGACGCUGAGGCGCGAAAGCGUGGGGAGCAAACAGGAUUAGAUACCCCAGUAGUC
rnacentral:rRNA from 1 species